rnacentral:tRNA from 1 species
GGGGGUGUAGCUCAGUGAUAGAGCGCUCGCUUUGCAUGCGAGAAGUCACGGGUUCGAACCCCGUCUCCUCCA